UGGGGAAUAUUGCACAAUGGAGGGAACUCUGAUGCAGCGACGCCGCGUGAGUGAUGAAGGACUUCGUUUCGUAAAACUCUGUUCUAUGGGAAGAAAAGGACUGUACCAUAGGAGAAAGCUCCGGCUAAAUACGUGCCAGCAGCCGCGGUAAUACGUAUGGAGCGAGCGUUGUCCGGAAUUAUUGGGCGUAAAGGGUGCGCAGGCGGCUCUACAAGUUGGAUGUGAAAUAUUGUGGCUCAACCACAAACGUGCAUCCAAAACUGCAAAGCUUGAGUUAAGGAGAGGUAAGUGGAAUUCCUGGUGUAGCGGUGGAAUGCGUAGAUAUCAGGAGGAAUACCGGUGGCGAAGGCGACUUACUGGACUUAAACUGACGCUCAGGCACGAAAGCGUGGGGAGCAAACAGG
rnacentral:rRNA from 1 species